ensembl:lncRNA
GAUUUUUAAAAAAAAAUCAGAUUAUCAGAUAAAAUCAUCCCAUCUACAUACACCAUGAGCAGUGGAUAACUAUAAAAGAGCAGCGGCUCAUCUGAUCUCAUCAUGUUUCAGCUACAUCCACAUUAAGCAACUUCUCUACAGCUUGUCAGACUGAAAGUUAAAGGGGAGGAGGACAAGAGGAAACUCGAGAAAACAAUUACUGGAAUGUCGACCUGGAUAAAGAAACUUCCGCUUUCCUCGAGAUCAGAAUCCUCAUAUUGAAAGCCUCCUCUAACCAAGUGACCUCUUGGUUGUGUGGAUUUGUUUAAAUGGGCCUUGGCCUUCUCCAAAGGAACACUUUAAAGCAGAAAGCAUCUGUGACGUUUGCUUCUGGUGUUUCCAUUUAACACAGAGAGUACAGCCUUCGUUGGAUAGACGAGAGUCUCAGGGAAACUAUUUCAUUUUGGGCAGUUUUUUAACCUUAAUCCAACCACCCAAAGGGCUCAGAGGGACAUUGUAUUUUUAUCAUUUUAGUACCCCAGCAUCCUAACAUGCACAUUUGCUGUCUCACAACUAUUUCAACUCUCUAAAGGAUUUAGCAAAACUUUUCCAACAGUGAGAUAGUCUCAUUUAAAGGGCUUACACGCCGGUAUCCUAAGCCAUGGAUGGGAAAACUGACAGCAUUCAGGAUUUUUUCAACCAACUGUGGCACUUUGCUUCAGAAAAACACAACCAGGGGGCCUAUAACACAGUCUGCCUGGUGGUCCUCCUGACGCUUCCCCUGCUCGUCCUCCUCACAACAGUGGUGGUGUGCUGCCACUGCUGUUGCUGUCGUCAUGCCAACAGCUGCUGUUGUUGCUGCUGCGGCGACGCCGUGUCGUCUUCAAGGUCAGAAACAAAGAAGAAAUAUAAUUCUGCCAAUACCGAAGACUUGUGGAUCUCGGUCAAGCCCGGGCCGAUGACGCCCGACCGGGUCGCUCUGGCCAUGGAGUAAAUAUCCCUUUUUUGACCUGAGAUUGCUGACGAGUUUAUGGAAAGGAGCUGAUGGAGCAUCCCGAAAAGCAUAAACCGUGGAUGCUCUUGGACUCCGUGGAUAUUCAAACAAAAAGGAUGAACUUCACCUAGUAGUGGGCACAGAUGUGUUUGAAAUAUGUAAACAGUGUAUAUAUUGUUGUCACUUUGCAUUCAUAAGAUGUCGUGCGGUGGUUUUAUGACAAUGUUUACAGCAUUUUUAUGAGCAUUUUUUUUAGUGUUUGGUACAUAAAGGAAGAAAUAUGAAGACAGAAGCACAUAUAUAACUGCAAGUGUGUGUGUGUGUGUGUGUGUGUGUGUGUGUGUGUGUGUGUAAGAGAAGCACAGUGUUAUUGAGAGCACUUUGUUCUUAGAGCUCCCAUGUGAAAUUCAGUGCGUGUGUAUUUGGGAGAGAGAGCCAAUUUAGGGUCUGCCCAGUGCUCAGAAAGCUGUAUUACUCACAUUCAGGCUGCAAUGCAGACUGUGAUUGACUCUCAAUUUCUAAAUCAAAAGGCACUGUCAUCUAAAAAGCUGAACUCACUGCCUACAGAACUUUCUUCAUUCCAACAUUUUUUCCCCCAUUUCUUGAAGAUGUUACAGCAUUGUCACAGGAGUGGAACUUCACUUUCAUCGGGUUUUUUUGUGUUUCUCUUUACACUAUUACACUAUUCAGGGCCAAGCAAGCAUUAAAAAAGACCAUUUGUAAAAGAUAAAGUGAGAACCCCCCCAAAGGACAAACAAACAACACUGGAAACUAGAAACUAGAUACUCAUACCAAUGGAGGUGUUAGCAAUAAUGAAUAGCCAUGUAUUUAUGGAAAUUUUGAACAUCUAUUCCUCUAAAACGUAUGAAUACGACUGAAAGAGGUGGCGUAAGUUGGUUUAGAGCAGAUCCAUAUGCACUUUUAUUCUGUUUUGAAGUCAUCACACAGAAAAUUUGGAAGGAGGACCAACAACACACUUAAGCCCCAAUGCCUAACCCCAAAUGCGAUCUCCUGCCUUUUGCCCCUAUAUCUGGGGGCGUUGGGGCUUAAGAGGUUAUACUGGCAUUAAGUUUGUUUGUAAUCACUUUUGGCUAACUUCCUAGCACAGAUGUGGACAAUUUUAGAUUGUCAAAAGUGUGUUUAAUUAAAACAAAUCACUGUCUAAGCAUACAUCUUUGUAUACUUCAUCAUGCUGAGAGCUUCCCCUACACUUGUGAUUGUGCCUUAUAACUGCAAAAUCCAUUUUACGUGCAUUUCUUUAAAAAGUUUGAUGAGUGCUUACAUGGAUACUGCUGGUAAACAUUAUUUGCCAGCAGUAUUUUAUUGCCAUUCUGUUGAGAUACAAACAUAAUGCUGAUUAAUUUGAUCAAGUCCUCACUAUUCACAUGUAUACAACGUUUUUAGAAACGGGUUUGAACAGUAUUCAAAGUAUUUUUUUGUUUUAGCUUAAUUAAAUUCACAUACUUUUCAAAAAUUCCAGUAAAAAGAAACUGAAAUAAUCAAACGAUUUGGGCUUCGAGUGGAUUGUGCCUGAAGGCUCCUUGUUUUGAAAGUGUACGACAUCUCAAGGCCCAAUUAAGCAGAGUCGUCUCAGCAGUAUCAUCAUCUUUAUGCAUUAGCUUAUUUUGGUACUAAGUUGAUCUUCUUGCUCAAGUGCUGCUGGGAAAACCGGCCCCACUCAUUUCAUUACUGCUCAGACAGAUACAUCCCCAUGUGGAAAUUUGGGUUUGUCUCUUCUGCUUUAUGUUCGCAGAGAGAAACUGUACAUGUUGAGCUUAAUUUGAAAGCUUGCCUUGCAAAACACAGGCAACGUAUGAUGACUAAUAAUUGCAAGAGUGAGACAUUUAACAAGAAAACACACUGCCAUGUUCGGGGUUUUUUUGCUGAGCACGUCAUUGUGGUUUGCGUUUGUCAAAGUAAAAUUGACAGGUUUUACUGGUUAUUAAAUGCUGACUGUGGCAGGCUUUUUACAACAUAAAUAAAAAUGUAUAAUGAUGUGAAAGACUGAAAAAAUUAAA